rnacentral:tRNA from 1 species
GGGGAUUUAGCUCAGCGGCAUAAGCACUUGCCUUGUAAGCAGGCAGUUGUGAGUUCAAUCCCUG